AACAAGCAAACAACUAAACAGUUAACUUGCAAUUAAUGCGGAAAUCGAAUCUUGGAAACUCGAGUUGUCACACAGUGUUAGUGUUUAUUGAUGCAUCGUAUUCACACCCUUACAUCCCCCUUUCAGAUAUUGAAUCCUCCAAAUGUUAUCAUCAGUUUCUUCAGCUCAAUCGUUCUCUUCAAUUAGGCUUUAUGAUUGAAUCUCUACAGCUGCAAAGGAAUUCAAUACUGAUGAUUCAAACCAAACAUUGAAACCCAAUACCUAAUUUAAUACACCAAUCUGCUGAAAUCAAUAACCACAUACGUUUCAUACCUGCAAUUAUUUAACAUCGAACCCAUCAUGGAACUGGGUAGUCAUUUGUAGUUUGAUUUGGCUACACUCAGGUCCUCCCCACGGCUCCGUAAUUUCAUAGCCCUGCAACCGGAAUCCCCAAAUCUCAGGAGCACUUACAGGCAGCCUACCACGAUGCCUGACUUACCUGUCGAAGUGAUCAUUUUUGGCAUACUUACAAGGGUUCCAGAGAAGACUGCCGCCCGAUCUAAAAGUGUCUGCAAGGAAUGGCGUGCGCUACUGUCAACACGCAACUUUGAAAAAGCUCACUGUUCACGCUCAUCGAUCCCGAGUAAUCAAAGAACCCUAUUUCUUCGUGACCUCAAUUGCCAUGUUCACCCGAUGGAUUUUGAGAUUGCUGACUACGGCCCAUAGACUAUACUUCCGCUCCCGUUUCAAGCUAAAAUAAGGGAUGUCAUGGUGAUGUCACAUCUGGACAGCAUACACAUGAAUUACUCCUCUGGAAUCCCACGACUGGCGCACACAGGCUUUUGGCAACCCCAGCUGGCCAUGGCCUGUAUAAAGAUAUAGCAGAUACCGUUGGCUUGUACAAUGGUGCAUCUAACGACUACAGACUACUGCAUUUAUCUCGAACAUCAGAUCUGCUAUCAGCCCAUAUCUACUCUAGACAACUAGGAAGCUGGUGAAAAAUAGGCUUCGAAACUAACCCUAAAAUACCAAACGUGCAGAUUCUAUUGGUCACCUAGUACCGUAUGCGGUGACACUUUGUACUUUACCGUCUGCAAAUGUUGGGUAGUGGGUAAAAGUGUUGUUGUUGGGUUUGGUACCAACACUGAGGAGGUUACGGAGAUUAGCUUCCUGCCAGUACCAUCCUCGGGGAUUUUCCAAGGCAUUUUAGUCGAUGUGCAGAAGUCUCUUCACAUGGUUCUGUGGACUGGCCAUCAAGAUAUGUCACUGACACUAUGGGCCCUACAAGGAGAACACUGGGUCAAACACUUCUCAACUCCUACAGUCCCCCCCAUACCCUUAGCACUGUGGCUAACCGUCACCCACUACAUGACCAAUGGAACUUUUUUUGGUGAUGAGUAACUCACGAAAGCUUUAUGAAAUACGAGUUGACAACAACCCUUAGAAUGUUAUUACGCAUCCAGUUGGUUUCGAGGCUACAUAGGCGUGGUUUUCCUACAGACCUUAGUCUCAUCAAAUUGUUGAUUUCUUUAAAACAUCAUCUUUACUAUGUUAUUACUGUACUGUUGGUUUCUGGUAUGUUUGUCACCUAUGUUGCUUUUGUUCACACAUCUAAGCAUGAGUUAUUUAAAUGGUUUUACUACUUU